AACGGUCUAUACCUGCGGUACCUGCGGAGGGAUCAUUACCGAGUUAUCAACUCCCAAACCCCUGUGAACAUACCCGAACGUUGCCUCGGCGGGACCGCCCCGGCGCCCCCAGCGGCCCGGAACCAGGCGCCCGCCGGAGGACCCAAACUCUUGCUUUAAACAGUGGCAUACUCUCUGAGUCUCACAAACAAAAAAUAAAUCAAAACUUUUAGCAAUGGAUCUCUAGAUCGGAAGAGCACA
rnacentral:misc_RNA from 1 species